rnacentral:misc_RNA from 1 species
AGUCGAUACUUUUCAUUUAAUUGCAUUUUCAUUUUUUUUUUAAUUUUGUUUUAUAAGCUUUGAGAAUGAAGAACAUAGGCUUCAGCUCGGGGCAGGUUGGUGUUGAACCUCAAGUAACAAGUUUUCUGCCUAGUAUUUUAGUUUGAAAGUGAUAAGAGUAGGUGUACUCCUUUUUCAUCUGUAUUGAGAAGAAAUAAUUAUUGCAAUGACAUAUUAGACUUAUAGGGCUGUAUUUUUGGUCUCCGAAUUGUUGUUAAUCAGAAAAGUUAAGAGGUAAAAGGUAGUGUAGUGCUUCAACCUUUCAUUGUGAUCAUAUCUUAUGGGACAACGUGAAAAGAGAAACGAGACUCUUUUUGGUUUUGCUGUGUGAGUAAAUGCUGCAUUACUGUCAGGGAUCAGAGAAUAACUAUAAUGUACAAUAACGAUUGGUUGACUAUUCUUCUGUCUUGAAACAACAUUGUAAAGAAACUUUAAUUUAAGGCAUGCUAAAAGAUUCCCCUCCCCCCGCCUU